AUCCUCUGAUGGGACUUGGAGCACUGCCACCAUGUGGGAUGAUAAACCAUACAUCUGCAAGAAGCCCAAAGUUCUACCAGAAACACCACCAACACAUGUGUCUCUGAAGGCAGGUCAGAGGCGUGUGUAUUCAGGCCUGGCAGUGGUGGUGGUAUUGGCUACCAUGUGUCUGAUGGGCCUCACAGUCUUAAUGCUCUACAAGAAGACCGGCCGUCCCCUGCCCUCCUUCACCAACCCCCUGGUCUUCAGUGCAGGUCGGAGUACCUUUGACAACCCCCUCUACACGGAGCCCAUCACCGAGGUUGACCCCAGCAUGGUGGACACUAGCCAGCUGGUUAACCAUAUGGAGGCUCAGCCAGUGAUCACUUUGUGAUUGGAGAGAGAUCGAAGGGGGAGGAAGGUUAAAGAUCCAACUUAGGUUAGGCAAAGUCAUAUUUACAUGCACAAGCUUUUGAAAAUAAUCAACAAAUUCAUUGGACCAGCGCCAUUGCUAACUAGUUUCGCUGAUGUUUCGAAUUUUUCCCCAUUUAUGCAAAGACUUCUGGGAUAUUAGAAUCCUCAUGUCUUGACCUUCACAUAUUGCACCUAGGAAUCAGGGGAUGUGCGGUGAGGUCUGAGGCCGGUUACGCACUUUCUAUUGGACCAGCUGCAGUAACCCUCUCGCAUUGGGGACAGUGUGUGUCAGGUCAUGCUGGAACAAGAAGCUGAGAAGCUGUCUAGGUGAUUUGUCUCUAUUGGUGAAAUGUACAAUCCCACAAGAUCAUCCUUAAAGGGAUGCGUCGGGAUUUUGGCAAUGAUUGAUACCAUUUUUUUGUCUCUAUGUCCAGUAUGAAGGAAGUUAGCGGUAGUUUCGCGAGCCAAUGCUAACUAGAAUUAGCGAAAUGACAGUAAGUCUAUGUUUAUCUGCUAUCUGGAAGGAUUGGUCAUUGCAUUAAUGCAUGCUAGCAGAUACCCAUAGACUUCCAGUCUUUUAGUUUAGUUUAUUAAUUUGACCAUUUUAAAAAACAAGCACAUAUAAAACUUGAAAAAGCCAUAAAUGCAUGAAUAAAAUCAUGUAGGAUAACACACAAUAAAGUCUGGGACUUAUUUCCAUCGAUGGAUAGACAAGAUCGAACACAGGCAGUGAUAAAACAAAACCAGAGAAGAAGAACAUCUAUCUCAUCAUUGGAAGGUGGUCAAACCUGGCUGUCAUCUGAACAUUGAGAUUGUCCAGUAUGUUGUAGUAUAUUCUUCCCGUUUCUACAGUAAGAUCAGCUGUUUACUACGAGUUGAACAUUCUGCCGGGCCCAGUUCAAUGCACUUCUGUUUGAAACUGUUAGACUCUAUUAAAAUGUAACAUGUUUCAAGUUAAACUGUAGUUUGUUUGUAUCCUGUUUAGUGAAUGAUUACCGAGAGUAUUAAUGGAGUUUAGGUCAUGAAACUGUGUGUUUGCUAGUAUAAAAACCAUGACCUAAUCAUAUACGAGGAAAUGGCCUAGGAUCAGAGAGCAGGGUCAAGCCCAGGACGGAGGAAUGACGGGUUGUGAUUCUGACAUCUAGCUAAACAAAGAGAGGACCAUGGACAUUCUACAGGGGAAUGGAGGGAAACUCAUUGGGGUCAUAAAAUGCUGGUGAGGUGACACCUACAAGAGGGUGGUGACCAAAAGGAGGGAAGAGUAUAUGAUGUGUUGUGAGCUUUCUAAAUG
ensembl:lncRNA